GGAAUAUUGGACAAUGGGCGAAAGCCUGAUCCAGCCAUGCCGCGUGUGUGAAGAAGGUCUUCGGAUUGUAACGCACUUUAAGUUGGGAGGAAGGGUUGUAGAUUAAUACUCUGCAAUUUGGACGUUACCGACAGAGGACGCACCGGCUACCUCUGUGCCAGCAGCCGCGGUAAUACAGAGGGUGCAAGCGUUAAUCGGAAUUACUGGGCGUAAAGCGCGCGUAGGUGGUCAUGUAAGUUGGAGGUGAAAUCCCCGGGCUCAACCUGGGAACUGCCUCCAAAACUGCAUGGCUAGAGUAUGGUAGAGGGUGGUGGAAUUUCCUGUGUAGCGGUGAAAUGCGUAGAUAUAGGAAGGAACAUCAGUGGCGAAGGCGACCACCUGGACUGAUACUGACACUGUGGUGCGAAAGCGUGGGGAGCAAA
rnacentral:rRNA from 1 species